GCCAGUCUUUUGGGUAUGAAACCCAUUUGGGCAAGAGUAGUACUAGGAUGGGUGACCUCCUGGAAAGUCCUCGUGAAAGGGUUUCAUAUCUAGCCUACCCCAACUUGUUUGGGAUAAAAGGCUUCGUAAGUAAGUAAGUAUUUUUUGGCAGGUGUUAUACUCAGUUGGUGUAAUGUUUUUUGAGCUGCUGACACCUUUUACUACUGGACUUGGGAGAAUGAAAGCAUUUGAGAAGCUGCGAGAUGAAGGGCCUCCGGAUGGCUGGAAGGGUGACCAUGAGGGCGACCGCGAAUUCUAUGAUGUAUAUUGAGCAACAACGUUGAUGGACUGCAAUGCAAAAGUUGUGAACAGCCGGCUGUAGAACUAGAAAGGUUGGGAGAGGAGACGGCUGCGGCAACAAUCUGUGUGGCUAUUGAAGUGGAAAAGCUCAGAGAAGAGUCUUGUAUUUCUGUCUCUGUUCGAUAACACCUGUAGAUAUGAUGUAACUAACUUGUCCGGUCCUUUGGAGUCUAGCCGCUCGCGUGCCUCGCAUGCACCUGAUGUAACUAAAUAGUAAGUCCUUUGGAGUAUACCAGCUCGCGUGCCUCUCAUGCACCUGCGUCUCUGGCAUUCUUCUAAACACAGCCACGGGUUUACGUUUGCAUGUAAUCUAGCCUCGCCCUAGUUGAGAUGCGGCCUUGUUAGAUGGAAAAUUUGUAGGAUAAUACUGUAUUUGAUAGGAAUUUUGUCUAUACUAGUAGUCUUUUAGUUUAA